rnacentral:rRNA from 1 species
GAUGAACGCUGGCGGCGUGCCUAAUACAUGCAAGUCGAGCGAACGGACGAGAAGCUUGCUUCUCUGAUGUUAGCGGCGGACGGGUGAGUAACACGUGGAUAACCUACCUAUAAGACUGGGAUAACUUCGGGAAACCGGAGCUAAUACCGGAUAAUAUUUUGAACCGCAUGGUUCAAAAGUGAAAGACGGUCUUGCUGUCACUUAUAGAUGGAUCCGCGCUGCAUUAGCUAGUUGGUAAGGUAACGGCUUACCAAGGCAACGAUGCAUAGCCGACCUGAGAGGGUGAUCGGCCACACUGGAACUGAGACACGGUCCAGACUCCUACGGGAGGCAGCAGUAGGGAAUCUUCCGCAAUGGGCGAAAGCCUGACGGAGCAACGCCGCGUGAGUGAUGAAGGUCUUCGGAUCGUAAAACUCUGUCAUUAGGGAAGAACAUAUGUGUAAGUAACUGUGCACAUCUUGACGGUACCUAAUCAGAAAGCCACGGCUAACUACGUGCCAGCAGCCGCGGUAAUACGUAGGUGGCAAGCGUUAUCCGGAAUUAUUGGGCGUAAAGCGCGCGUAGGCGGUUUUUUAAGUCUGAUGUGAAAGCCCACGGCUCAACCGUGGAGGGUCAUUGGAAACUGGAAAACUUGAGUGCAGAAGAGGAAAGUGGAAUUCCAUGUGUAGCGGUGAAAUGCGCAGAGAUAUGGAGGAACACCAGUGGCGAAGGCGACUUUCUGGUCUGUAACUGACGCUGAUGUGCGAAAGCGUGGGGAUCAAACAGGAUUAGAUACCCUGGUAGUCCACGCCGUAAACGAUGAGUGCUAAGUGUUAGGGGGUUUCCGCCCCUUAGUGCUGCAGCUAACGCAUUAAGCACUCCGCCUGGGGAGUACGACCGCAAGGUUGAAACUCAAAGGAAUUGACGGGGACCCGCACAAGCGGUGGAGCAUGUGGUUUAAUUCGAAGCAACGCGAAGAACCUUACCAAAUCUUGACAUCCUUUGACAACUCUAGAGAUAGAGCCUUCCCCUUCGGGGGACAAAGUGACAGGUGGUGCAUGGUUGUCGUCAGCUCGUGUCGUGAGAUGUUGGGUUAAGUCCCGCAACGAGCGCAACCCUUAAGCUUAGUUGCCAUCAUUAAGUUGGGCACUCUAAGUUGACUGCCGGUGACAAACCGGAGGAAGGUGGGGAUGACGUCAAAUCAUCAUGCCCCUUAUGAUUUGGGCUACACACGUGCUACAAUGGACAAUACAAAGGGCAGCGAAACCGCGAGGUCAAGCAAAUCCCAUAAAGUUGUUCUCAGUUCGGAUUGUAGUCUGCAACUCGACUACAUGAAGCUGGAAUCGCUAGUAAUCGUAGAUCAGCAUGCUACGGUGAAUACGUUCCCGGGUCU